rnacentral:rRNA from 1 species
GAUGAACGCUAGCUACAGGCCUAACACAUGCAAGUCGAGGGACCGGCGCACGGGUGAGUAACGCGUAUCCAACCUACCCAUUACUGUGGGAUAACCUGCCGAAAGGCAGACUAAUACCGCAUCGUAAUGGAUGGGGUUGCGUUUGAUUAGCUUGUUGGCGGGGUAACGGCCCACCAAGGCACCGAUCAGGAGGGGUUCUGAGAGGAAGGCCCACCACAUUGGAACUGAGAAACGGACUAAAAUCGUACGGGAGGCAGGAGUGAUGAAUAUAGGUCAAUGGGCGCUAGCCUGAACCAGCCAAGUAGAGUGAAGGGUGAAGGGUUAUGGGUCGUAAACUUGUGUUAUAUAAGAAUAUGUAUUAGAUGAAUAAGGAUCGGCUAACUCCGUGCCAGCAGCCGCGGUAAUUC